AGCUUUCGGAAUCCGUGAUGAGAUUUCGUCAGAAACCAACCCAUUAGAAGUGAUCAGACUUUCAAAAUGAGUGGAGUU
rnacentral:pre_miRNA from 1 species